rnacentral:ribozyme from 13 species
UUUUUUUUUUUUUUUUUUUUUUUUUUUUUUUUUUUUUCCAAUCG